rnacentral:rRNA from 1 species
AUUGAACGCUGGCGGCAGGCCUAACACAUGCAAGUCGAACGAGUGGCCGACGGGUGAGUAAUGUAUGGGAAACUGCCUGAUGGAGGGGGAAAACUUCUGGAAACGGUAGCUAAUACCGCAUAACAUCAGAUGUGCCCAGAUGGGUUUAGCUUGUUGGUGGGGUAACGGCUCACCAAGGCGACGAUCCCUCGAUGGUCUGAGAGGAUGAACAGCCACACUGGAACUGAGACACGGUCCAGACUCCUACGGGAGGCAGCAGUGGGGAAUAUUGCACAAUGGGCGCAAGCCUGAUGCAGCCAUGCCGCGUGUAUGAAGAAGGCCUUCGGGUUGUAAAGUACUUUCAGCGGGGAGGCGUUACCGGCAGAAGAAGCACCGGCUAACUCCGUGCCAGCAGCCGCGGUAAUUC